rnacentral:rRNA from 1 species
UACAGAGGUCUCAAGCGUUGUUCGGAUUCAUUGGGCGUAAAGGGUGCGUAGGCGGCGCGGUAAGUCGGGUGUGAAAUCUCGGAGCUUAACUCCGAAACUGCAUUCGAUACUGCCGUGCUUGAGGACUGGAGAGGAGACUGGGAUUUACGGUGUAGCGGUGAAAUGCGUAGAUAUCAGGAGGAAUACCGGUGGCGAAGGCAGGUCUCUGGGCUGACACUGACGCUCAUGCACGAAAGCGUGGGGAGCAAACAGG